GGCUUAUUGAGAUAAUAAUUUUAGGUCUAUCUGCCCAAUGAUUAUUAAAUUUAAUGGCUGCAGUAUAAUUAACUGUACAAAGGUAGCAUAAUCAAUUGUUUUUUAAUUGAAAACUAGAAUGAAAGAAUUAAUGAGAUAUAUACUGUCUCAUAUAUAUUUAAUGAAAUUAAAUUUUUAGUAAGAAUGCUAAAAUAAAUUUAUGGGACGAUAAGACCCUAUAGAAUUUUAUAUUUAUAUUUAGAUUUAAAUUUAUUUUAAAUAUAAAUAUUUAAUUGGGAGGAUUAAUAAAUUUAAGAAACUUUAUUUAAAAUAUAACCUUUGAUUUAAGAAUAGUUUUUGAUCUUUUAUUAAAAAUUAAAAGAAUAAAUUACCUUAGGGAUAACAGCGUAAUAUCUUUUUAAAGAUCAAAUUGAUAAAGAUGAUUGCGACCUCGAUGUUGAAUUAAGAUAAAUUUUAAAUGGAGAAGUUUAAUAAUUAAGUCUGUUCGACUUUUAAAAUCUUACAUGAUUUGAGUUCAAAUCGACGUGAGU
rnacentral:rRNA from 1 species